rnacentral:sRNA from 1 species
AGACCGAUCUGUCCUCCAAGUAGGAACCC